AGUGAACGCUGGCGGUAGGCCUAACACAUGCAAGUCGAACGGCAGCACAGUAAGAGCUUGCUCUUAUUGGUGGCGAGUGGCGGACGGGUGAGGUAUACAUCGGUAUCUACUUUUUCGUGGGGGAUAACGUAGGGCAACUUACGCUAAUACCUCAUACGUCCUACGGGUGAAAGCAGGGGAUCUUCGGACCUUGCGCGUUUUAAUGAGCCGAGGUCGGAUUAGCUAGUUGGCGGGGUAAAGGCCCACCAAGGCGACGAUCCGUAGCGGGUCUGACAGGAUGAACAGCGACAGUGGAACUGAGAGACGGUACAGAGACCGACGGGAGGCAGAAGUGGGGAAGAGAGGACAAUGGGGGGAAGACUGAUCCAGGGAUACCGGGUGGAUGAAGAAGGGCUGCGGGUUGUAAAGCCGUUUUGUUGGGAAAGAAAAGUAGCAGGUUAAGAGACGGCUGUUCUGACGGUACCCAAAGAAUAAGCACCGGCUAACUACGUG
rnacentral:rRNA from 1 species